GGCUUCUUCAGUACAAUCCUUGGCCUUCAUUUAGCAACCUAACGUAGAAACCAGCGCAGAUAUGGGGGCAGAAAUCAUCUUACGACACAGCUUCACGUGGGAUUCAUGAAACGGUCGUAUCACGCCAGUCAGAGCGUAAGAAUGGUCGUACAUUGAUUAAUGCAGCAGCUGCAAACAAUCGUAAUUUAAAUAUCACGCCCCAAUAUAUUCUCGGUUUUGAGGCCUAUUUAGAACAUGGCGAGACGUAAUCCGGCUAAGACGCGGUACUUUUCAGAGGUGGAGAUUUAUACCCUGCUAUCUCAGGUUCAUUUGCAGUAACGUGUGUACUAUUUGGCGGCCUAAAAACUGGUACUGAAGGCUGU